UAGACAACUAACACAUUUCUUUUGGAUAUAUACCUGGGAGUGGAAUUGCUGAGUUAUGGGUGGAUGAAGAUUUAUUUUGGAGCAUGAGCUAUGGAGCUGGAGUACCUGGGCUUAAAAUCAGGCAUUUCUAGCCCUGGCCUCACCGGCCGCAUGACUUGAGGCCUGACACUUAGUAGAGAGGGCCCUGGCAGUGUUCCUGAUAUUGUCAGCUUUAUCAGUCUGGCUCUUAGGAUAAAGAGGAUGAUACGUGGGAACACAGUCCCCCAGCCCACCU